UAGUAAUAUGUCUGAAAAUAGGUUAUAAACUGUAAAUUUACAUAUAGAAUUAAAUUAUUCUUAUUAC
rnacentral:tRNA from 1 species